GAUAAACGCUGGCGGCGUGCUUAACACAUGCAAGUCGAACGAAGUUUUUCCUUCGGGAGAAACUUAGUGGCGGACGGGUGAGUAACGCGUGGGUAACCUGCCCUGUACAGGGGGACAACAGCUGGAAACGGCUGCUAAUACCGCAUAAGCACUUAGCACUGCAUGGUGCAUAGGGAAAAGGAGCAAUCCGGUACAGGAUGGACCCGCGUCUGAUUAGCCAGUUGGCAGGGUAACGGCCUACCAAAGCGACGAUCAGUAGCCGAUCUGAGGGGAUGUACGGCCACAUUGGGACUGAGACACGGCCCAGACUCCUACGGGAGGCAGCAGUGGGGAAUAUUGCACAAUGGAGGAAACUCUGAUGCAGCGACGCCGCGUGAGUGAAGAAGUAUUUCGGUAUGUAAAGCUCUAUCAGCAGGGAAGAAAAUGACGGUACCUGACUAAGAAGCACCGGCUAAAUACGUG
rnacentral:rRNA from 1 species